GAUGAACGCUGGCGGCGUGCCUAAUACAUGCAAGUCGAGCGAACGGACGAGAAGCUUGCGUCUCUGAUGUUAGCGGCGGACGGGUGAGUAACACGUGGAUAACCUACCUAUAAGACUGGGAUAACUUCGGGAAACCGGAGCUAAUACCGGAUGAUAUUUUGAACCGCAUGGUUCAAAAGUGAAAGACGGUCUUGCUGUCACUUAUAGAUGGAUCCGCGCUGCAUUAGCUAGUUGGUAAGGUAACGGCUUACCAAGGCAACGAUGCAUAACCGACCUGAGAGGCUGAUAGGCCACACUAGAACGGAGACACGGUCCAGACUCCUGCGAGAGGCAGCAGUAGGGAAUCUUCCGCAAUAGGCGAGAGCCUGACGGAGCAACGGCGCGUGAGUGAUGAAGGUCUUCGGAUCGUAAAACUCUGUUAUGAGGGAUGAACAUAUGUGUAAGUAACUGUGCACAUCUUGACGGUAACUAAUCAGAAAGCCACGGCUAACUACGUG
rnacentral:rRNA from 1 species